rnacentral:tRNA from 1 species
GCGCAGGUGGCGGAAUUGGUAGACGCGCACGGUUCAGGUCCGUGUCCCAGUGAUGGGGUGGGGGUUCGACUCCCCUCCCGCGCACAG